rnacentral:rRNA from 1 species
UACGAAGGGGGCUAGCGUUGCUCGGAAUUACUGGGCGUAAAGCGCACGUAGGCGGUCUUUUAAGUCGGGGGUGAAAUCCUGGAGCUCAACUCCAGAACUGCCUUCGAUACUGAGAGACUUGAGUCCGGGAGAGGUGAGUGGAACUGCGAGUGUAGAGGUGAAAUUCGUAGAUAUUCGCAAGAACACCAGUGGCGAAGGCGGCUCACUGGCCCGGUACUGACGCUGAGGUGCGAAAGCGUGGGGAGCAAACAGG